ACCACUACCCGUAAAGCCAACGCCAAGAAGCGACUCCUUAGGGUUUGGCAGAAUGAAGCUGUGUUGAAGGCAUGUGCUGAACCACCACCUUCAAAAACUUCUAUAGCUGAUGCUGCUGGAGUUGCAGAGAAAGAUGGCCUCAACACCCAAAUUUAACUUGUGAAAUGAGUGAGAAUAAAUCUCAAGGAUGUCUUAUGGUUGCAAGUAUGGGGAAGCCAGUUUUUGUGCCUGUGUCUAUCUAGGAUUAUGUGUUUUAGGCUCUGAUUUUAGUUUCUCUAUCACUCCAAUUUAAAAGGGUUUAUAGAUUUUGUAACAUUUCUCUUUAACACAGAUGGAAUUUUAG
rnacentral:misc_RNA from 1 species